CCUACGGGUGGCAGCAGUGAGGAAUAUUGGUCAAUGGGCGGAAGCCUGAACCAGCCAAGUCGCGUGCAGGAUGACGGCCCUACGGGUUGUAAACUGCUUUUAUACGGGAAUAACGCGCCUUACGUGUAGGGCUUUGCAUGUACCGUAUGAAUAAGGAUCGGCUAAUUCCGUGCCAGCAGCCGCGGUAAUACGGAAGGUCCGGGCGUUAUCCGGAUUUAUUGGGUUUAAAGGGAGCGUAGGCCGGAUGUCAAGCGUCGUGUUAAAUGUGCGGGCUCAACCCGGGCCUUGCAGCUGAACCUGGCGUGCUUGAGUGAGCGGAAAGCAGGCGGAAUGCGUGGUGUAGCGGUGAAAUGCAUAGAUAUGACGAAGAACCCCGAUUGCGAAGGCAGCUUGCUGGCGCUGAACUGACGCUGAUGCUCGAAAGCGUGGGUAUCGAACAGGAUUAGAUACCCCAGUAGUC
rnacentral:rRNA from 1 species